UACUCGAGUGGCGAACGGGUGAGUAACACGUGGGUGAUCUGCCCUGCACUUCGGGGUAAGCCUGGGAAACUGGGUCUAAUACCGGAUAGGAGCCAUUUUUAGUGUGAUGGUUGGAAAGUUUUUUCGGUGUAGGAUGAGCUCGCGGCCUAUCAGCUUGUUGGUGGGGUAAUGGCCUACCAAGGCGGCGACGGGUAGCCGGCCUGAGAGGGUGGACGGCCACAUUGGGACUGAGAUACGGCCCAG
rnacentral:rRNA from 1 species